AGCGAACGCUGGCGGCGGGCCUAACACAUGCAAGUCGAACGAAGUCUUCGGACUUAGUGGCGGACGGGUGAGUAACACGUGGGAACGUACCUUUUGGUUCGGAACAACUCAGGGAAACUUGAGCUAAUACCGAAUGCGCCCUUAGGGGGAAAGAUUUAUCGCCAUUAGAGCGGCCCGCGUUAGAUUAGCUAGUUGGUGGGGUAAAGGCCCACCAAGGCUACGAUCUAUAGCUGGUCUGAGAGGAUGAUCAGCCACACUGGGACUGAGACACGGCCCAGACUCCUACGGGAGGCAGCAGUGGGGAAUCUUGCGCAAUGGGCGAAAGCCUGACGCAGCCAUGCCGCGUGAAUGAUGAAGGUCUUAGGAUUGUAAAAUUCUUUCAGUAGGGACGAUAAUGACGGUACCUACAGAAGAAGCCCCGGCUAACUUCGUGCCAGCAGCCGCGGUAACAC
rnacentral:rRNA from 1 species